GCAUUGAAUUCUUAGCUUGGGCUGCGCAUAGCGUGGGCCCACUUUUUGGAAAUGAAUUAUUUUACGAAGACUUAGCAUAUUGAGCAUCUUUAUUCUCACAUUUUAGCCCACACGGCAUAGUCCUUUCCAGAGGAAACAACCUGGAAAUUUGAGGGAAUGAGGGUUCCAAGAUCGGUCUUCGGCCCAAUCUUCAUAAUGAUAUUGUCGUUAAUUGCCG
rnacentral:misc_RNA from 1 species